ensembl:lncRNA
CCAGGAGUCCAACAGCUGUCUGGCAGCCCAUUGAGUAACUUCUUUGACGUAAUGAACCAACUUUUUUCAGACGAGAAGAAUGGACAGGGGCCCUACCCCUCUGGCACGCCCACCAAGCACUCCCCCUCGCCCAUUCACGUCCGGAGGCACGAGCCAGAAAAUAAUGACACCAAAUGCCCCGCUGCGGGCCGAAACCGGGUCAGGCUGUCGGUGGCGUCUUUGGGGCCCACGGGAGGAGUCUUAGAACGAGAUGCUAUGUAGUCGAGCUCCCCCGGUAUCACUGUAACACACAGAGAGAGAGUAUUUGUACAUAAUCCUUUGUGGGCCUUCUUUUUGUAUGAAAUGACUUUAUAGAAAUAUAAUAUAUUGAGAGAAUCUAAGUAAUGUUUAUAAAAACGCAUACUGCACCUACACGACAAAUGCGCGCAAGUCCUUCCAUUCCCUUUUUCAUUAUCCCCACCCCACCCACCUUCACACCACCACCAUCCACUCCUCUACCUCAACCAUCCAAUCGCCUGUGACCCUUGCUCCGAUUCUUGGCUCCCUUGCUGAUAACCUGUGUGAUGACCUGACUUGUUUCUGAUACCAGGAAUUAUCCAGAAAACCUAUUAAGCCCCUCCUCCUGCUCCCUGCUCCGUCCGCCUUCCCUCGACCACCCUCCUGCCCUGCCGCCCGCCCCGACCGCCCCCCCACCCCUGAGCAUGCCGGUAGAGAUGGACAUUUGUUGACGGAGGAUGGUUUGUAGAGGUGCGCUGAAGAGAGAGGGGGGCGGGGGGUUCACCAUGGAAACAGACCCCUUCAUCCAGACCUUCAUCUGCCUCCACGUCCCUGCUCCACCUCUGGCAGUAGAAGUAGAUGAAAAUCCCUUUGUGCGUUCCCCCAUCUUAGGAACACACAAACACACACAUAUGUGCACAACUAAUCCUCAGAAAUCCCAAUGAAAGAAAAAAACGCACACUCCCCCCCCCCCCCCGCCCGCCCGCCCGCCCCUUUCCUGUCGAGGAGCAUUCGUCAUACGGAGAUGAGUAUUUUACAAAAAGACACUACACACAAAAAACAUGUGCAUGCUUACAUGCACAGGUCUAGUUUGCACAGAAAACUCUGGGAUGUAUUAACAAGAACACAGACAACAACAGAAAGAAGACACAAAGUGACUGAUGAGGAGGAGAGAAGGGGGGAUGUAGAAAGCCAAAAGGCCGACGCGGACACUUGCUGGAUUGUAUUUGUUUGCUUUUUAAUGUAACUUCUUUGUUAAAACUGGGUUUGAAAUACUAAGUGACUAUGAGACGUAAUACUCUUGCUGCAAAUGGACUGGAAUUGUGAUUUCAGAGAGGAGCAGAACGCUGCAGGGGGAUCGGGGGGGUACGAUGACACGGGGUGGAGGGGAGGGACGAGGGCGGGUAUUUACUUAAAAUGAAUGAUCUAUUCUGUUGUACAGACUGAUAUCAUUUCUUCUGUAUAAAAAUGAAAUAUCUAGUUGUGACACUACGUUUAGAUACCAUGGGCUCAGGUUGCCAAACCUGCGCCUGCUACAUGCUGUUCUUUUAAAUUAUUCCGUGUGUUUUUGUUACACGAUCAUCCAAGUCUUUGUCGGAUUGAACUAAUUAUGAUCAACGCAUUCCUGUUUGUGUUAUUUGCAGCACUUUGUCUUUGGUUUUCCAUUCAUACCUCUCUUCUCUUAGCCUCACUUACCAGCAGUAGAAGUAGACGAACAAAAAAAAAAAUGAUGUGACAAAUGCAAUUGUGGAUAUUUUUGUAUUUCUGUCCUUAUUUAUUCAACGUUUGUUCAUCUUACUGUUUGAUUUCCUAAUUUAUUAUAACUUGGCUAUUUAUAUGAACAAAGCUGUUAGGUCAGUUGAAUGUUAUUUAUUACCCUCUUGUGUGUUCGUAAAUGGGGCAACAUUUGAAGAAAAAAGAAAAUUAACUUUUUUUUUCUUCUUUAGUUUUGGUCUACAUUUAAGAGAUUGUGUGAACAAUCGAGUGACAAAUUCUCUUUUCCCUGACCUCUCUGUGGAGGGAAAGAGAACUUGUGGGAACUCUUGAAAAAGAAAAAAAAAAGCAUUUACCAGUAAUUUAAGAAUGUAGACGUAGCCUCUUUUUGGAGAGGGGAAAAUGCUCUUCUAUUGAUAUUUGUCAGUUUCAUAUUAUUGUGCGUGUAGGCCGGGCCUGAGGAGAAGGACUCUACAGAUCCCAAUCUACUUCUUCUCUUUGUAAAUAUACAGACAGACCGCGGGGGGGUUGAUCGUCUUCUCAACCAUGCUGGGGAUUCCUGCUCAAUGCUUUUAGUCUGUAUUGCUGUGUGCAUGUCGAACAUGAGCUUUUCUUUGCAUGGCUUUAGUAUUCAUGUUCCAUGCCAAACUCACUCCUCUCAGCCUUCAUCGAUUUUCUCUCUCCACAAAAUUGACCUUUUUAAGGUUUUAAAUUUCCUCUUUGCCCCACUUUUUACCCUCAGCUUUUAUUUCUGGCCUUUUUUUUAUUGUCCCUGCUAAUCUUCCCCUACCUCCCCCUCUUAUUUUGUGCACAAAGCUUUGAACGAUGCUUCCGUUACUCUGUACCUCUUUGGAAGGCUUGGAUGUCUGCUCUCUCCACCCGGCGGUAGAAGAGGGACAGUGAGGGGAUAUCGGCGCACAAACAAAAAGCAAUACCCUAUCGUUCACUUUCCGUUGAUUUUAUUUUUUUUAAAUGGGAAGCUAGCAGUACCAAGGACAUCUGAUGAUUCUAAAGGACCAAAGCGGUCUUUUUUUUUUUGCCAGAGCAGGAAACAAACUGACUGAUGUAAUCCCCAUAUGAAAUAACUGUGAGCAUCUUCAGUGCUGAAACAAAUAAACUCAUUAAGUUAUGGUGUGUUAGUUUUC